rnacentral:rRNA from 1 species
UACGUAGGGGGCAAGCGUUGUCCGGAAUUAUUGGGCGUAAAGCGCGUGUAGGCGGCUCGGUAAGUCUGCUGUGAAAGUCCAAGGCUCAACCUUGGAAAGCCGGUGGAUACUGUCGAGCUCGAGUCCGGAAGAGGCGAGUGGAAUUCCUGGUGUAGCGGUGAAAUGCGCAGAUAUCAGGAGGAACACCAGCGGCGAAGGCGGCGCUCUGGGCCGGAACUGACGCUGAGGAGCGAAAGCGUGGGUAGCAAACAGG